CUCGUACGCGAAAUCUUUCUCACAAAACCUUAAAACGAUUUCCCAAUUUUCUUAUUUUCUACUUUCACUUUCCCAAUUUCACUCUUUGCCCCAUGAAAUUCCUCACUCUUCAACAAUGUUUCCAUUUCAAGAUGCUUCAUCCACCGCUUCUUCUACCCUAACCUCUUCGGCCACCGCUCUCUUUUCUUCUAGCUAUUGCUAUUGCGUGACCUAAUUUGACUUUCUUAUUUGUUCGGAUUUCACGCUUUCAGUUUCGAUUUGUUCCGUAUUGCACGCUUUCAGGUUUCAGUUUGAUUCCUUUGCAUAUGUUAAAAGGCUAUAGUGGAAGCAGCUGAUACUGAAUUCAUCAUACUUGGCCAGCGAAUUUAUUAAAUUACUUGGCCUUAAGGACUUUAUCUUGAGGAGAUCAUUAAGUGGUAACAGAAACAAUCAGUUGCAUUGGCUACUCAGCACACUACAAGUAAAUUGUAGCAACUGGCAUGGUUGGUAAUGACCUUCUCAAUUUGAGCAUGAGAAAAUGAGUUCUGAGACUGUAGCUGGCAUAUUUGGUUAAGGGAGUUCAAAGAAGCUACCAAGGUUGGUGUACUUUGGACCUUAAACACAGAGAGGUUGCUCGGUACAAGUCUGUUGUGCAGGUUGUUGGCACUGUGCAGGGACAUAAUAUAUCUGGAAAGGAUCAGCGUGUUCAUUGCUCCAUAAAUAUCAACACAGAGACUGGACGCUUGUCAGCAAGAAGACCAAGUUUGCAGAAUCAAUUCCAGCUUUGGAAAAAGACCGAUACAAAAUCCGUCAAGCAUUCAUUGCUGCUCCUGGAAAUUCUCUUAUAGUUGCUGAUUAUGGACAGUUGGAACUUAGGAUACUUGCACAUCUUACUAAUUGUAAGAGCAUGUUGGAAGCCUUUGAAGCUGGUGGAGAUUUCCAUUCCAGAACUGCAAUGAAUAUGUACCCGUAUAUUCGUCAAGCGGUUGAUCAUGAUAAUAAGGAAGUGCUUCUUGAAUGGCAUCCUCAGUCUGGUGAAGACAAACCCCCUGUUCCUCUCCUGAAGUGACUCAAAGUUGUUGGUUGACACUAUCCAUUCGAGAAGACGGGGCAAUUCAGAAUUUAGUUUAAUUGUUAACGACAUUAUUCUUCUUAUGUCAUCUUCUUAUGUAAACUUUGAGGUUAAGUUUGUUAGAGACAAACAAAUUUGGUUGCUGAUACUCUUGCUAGGGCGGCCAAUGUUUAGGCUAGUUUUCAUAAAUUUGAGAUUAUUCCCUUAUGUAUGGAACAUUUAUCAUUUGAUAUGAAUUAAGUUUGUUUGGAUAAAAAAAAA